rnacentral:sRNA from 1 species
GCGUGACAACAAGAUGGCGGCGCUGCGGGACGGCUAGUGGCCCUGCGUGGGAGUUCCUGACAGCUGGAUUCUAGACGUAGAACUAUGAGCUCACCUUUGGCCUCCCUUAGCAAGACCCGGAAAGUGCCCCUGCCCUCGGAGCCUGUGAAUCCUGGGAGGCGAGGAAUCCGCAUCUACGGAGAUGAAGAUGAGGUGGACAUGUUGAGUGAUGGGCGUGGCUCAGAAGAAAAGAUCUCAGUCCCUUCCUGCUAUGGUGGCAUAGGUGCCCCGGUGAGUCGGCAAGUCCCUGCAUCGCAUAACUCGGAGCUGAUGGCCUCCAUGACGAGGAAGUUGUGGGACCUGGAGCAGCAGGUGAAGGCCCAGACUGAUGAGAUACUGUCCAAGGAUCGGAAGAUAGCGGCCCUGGAGGACCUGGUGCAGACCCUCCAGCCACAUCCAGCCGAGGCAACCCUGCAGCGGCAGGAGGAACUGGAGACGAUGUGCGUGCAGCUGCAGCGGCAGGUCAGGGAGAUGGAGCGGUUCCUCGGUGACUAUGGCCUGCAGUGGGUGGGCGAGCCCAUGGACCAGGAGGACUCAGAGAGCAAGACGGUCUCAGAGGAUGGCGAGAGGGACUGGAUGACAGCCAAGAAGUUCUGGAAGCCAGGGGACUCAUUGGCGCCCCCUGAGGUGGACUUUGACAGGCUGCUGGCCAGCCUGCAGGAUCUUAGUGAGCUGGUGGUAGAGGGUGACACCCAGGUGACACCAGUGCCCGGCGGGGCACGGCUGCGUACCCUCGAGCCCAUCCCGCUGAAGCUCUACCGGAAUGGCAUCAUGAUAUUCGACGGGCCCUUCCAGCCCUUCUACGAUCCCUCCACACAGCGCUGUCUCCGAGACAUAUUGGAUGGCUUCUUUCCCUCAGAGCUCCAGCGACUGUACCCCAACGGGGUCCCCUUUAAGGUGAUGAGCUGCUCCUCAAACUACACCUCUGGGGAUUUUGAAGGGAGUGGGGAUACACAGCUUCCCCAGGCACCUCCCAUUCUGAGGGGGAGCCACUGCACUCCCUGGGGGACCCCAGUCUGAUGCCCUCUAGGAGGAUAAGUCUGGAAGCCAGGCUGGGAAGGGAGCAGAGAGGCCCGAAACAGCAGCAGGCAGCGCCCUCUCCUGGCACCCUGGAGACAGCCUCGGCUGUGGGGCCACUGCCUUCUAGUCCUCCCCAGCUUUCAGGACACCUUGACAACCUGGGGUCCCUGCAGAAGUGGCCCAGCUAUCCCCCAAGUCUCCUGAAGCUAUCUGGGUAGGGUGGGAGGCAGUGCUGUGAGCCACAAAUGCAAAGCAGAGGGGACAGAUGUUGGAACUCAAGGACAUAAGGUAGAACUGGUCCCAUGGGUAGGUGCCACCACCGGAGCCCAUGAGGUUUCGUGUUCCAGAAGGUGGUGGGUUAGUGCCGCACUGAGGGCGUGUCAGGGAGGGAGCAUGUGUCACCAGGGCUCAGGAAACAGCAUGAGUCAUGACGGGGGGUGUUUAAGGCAUUCGUGCCACAAUGGGGGCCUCGGAGCUAUGCCUUGAUGAGGCAAGUGAGGUUCCGUGUAUGAUGAUGCGGUUUGUGCUGCAGACUGGAAAAAAGCAGGGGCUUUGUCCUCUUCUGACCCCCUCACACUCUGCCUUCACGGUAGGCUCCUGAGAGGGGGGUCUCCAAGGAGGGUGUCAGUACUGCAGCUUCAGCUGGCGUGGAUGGGGUGCUUACAGGAGCAGCAGGGCCGAGGGAGAUGACAGCAGUAUGAACUAUGAGGCCUGUGUUUCCUCAUAUGUAAAACGGGGGUUGCAUUAGACCAUACCCUUGGCCUGUGUUUAGGCAAAUAGGGAUGAAAGUGGGGCCAAGGGCUGAAGAGCUGGGCCUGCUGCCGUCGCCCUUCUUUCUUGCCAGGUGAGUGACUUGCGCAAUCAGGUCUACCUGGAGGAUGGGCUGGACCCCUUCCCAGGCGAGGGCCGUGUGGUGGGCAGGCAGCGGAUGCACAAGGCCUUGGACAGGGUGGAGGAGCACCCAGGCUCCAGGAUGACUGCUGAGAAAUUUCUGAACAGGCUCCCCAAGUUUGUGAUCCGGCAAGGCGAGGUGGUUGACAUCCGGGGCCCCAUCAGGGACACCUUGCAGAACUGCUGCCCAUUGUCUGCCCGGAUCCAGGAGAUUGUGGUGGAGACGCCCACCUUGGCCGCUGAACGAGAGAGGUGAGGGCGGGACGAGGAGGUGAGGGCCUGGGGGCGUUGGGUCACUGAGCGCUGAUGGCCUCUGGGCUGUGCAGGAGCCAGGAGUCGCCCAACACGCCGGCACCCCCGCUCUCCAUGCUGCGCAUCAAGUCUGAGAAUGGGGAACAGGCCUUCCUACUGAUGAUGCAGCCUGACAACACCAUUGGGGACGUGCGAGCUCUGCUAGCGCAGGCCAGGUGGGCGCAGGGCAGGGCUGGGGCCACAGAGGGGCUCUGGCCCCACUGCCCAGCCUGAUCUGCUCUGCCUGGUCCCCAGGGCCAUGGAUGCCUCCGCCUUUGAGAUCUUCAGCACAUUCCCACCCACCCUCUACCAGGAUGAUGCACUCACGCUGCAGGCUGCAGGCCUGGUGCCCAAAGCAGCACUGCUGCUGCGGGCACGCCGAGCCCCGAAGUCCAUCCCGAAAUUCAGUCCUGGUCCCUGUCCCGGUCCCGGCCCCAGUCCCAGCCCCCAAUAAAGUGCCCGCCCCCUCAAC